UGUUCCCCACGCACGCCGGCGCCCCAAGCCGGUCAGCCCCCACGCCUCCUACGCCGCCCCACGCCGCCCGGGGCUACCGCCGGUCUAUCUCACCACCGCCCCACGCCGCCCUUCCUCCGUAGCACCGCCACAUGCCGCCCUGUCCCUACAGCGCAGCCCAACUCUGUCGUGCCUCUCUCCGCCACCGGCUCCACACCCUCAUGCUCUCUCUCCGGUUGACCGCCUCUCUCCAUCCUCCCUGGCCCGACCUCCCCAUCUCCACCGUCCAGCUCACGGAGACACACGCAGCGGCAGAUUUGGAUCGGGGCAGCGUGCGCCUGGGCAAGGGCAUCCCUCUCUGUCUUUGGCUGGGCAAGGGCACCGAAGCGGCUGAGAGCUGACGGAUGGACAUAAAGGAUGAAGACCAUGCAACAACUGUAACCUCGCAUUUGGCAGCCACACACGAAGAGCAAUGGCAGUGUCUUCCUCUAGCUCUGUAUAGUAUUUUUACCCAUUGAGACAGAAGAAAAGAUGAGAGACAACAUAUGCGUGCAUGUACUUUCCAUUUGCACUGCAUUUCAAACAGGCAUUUUAUGAGCUGGACUCAACUGCUUUGAGCUUUGUUAUCAACACUUCACACACACAAUGGAAGGAUUAGAAGUUAGAUUUAAAGAUGUACAAGUUUGAUGCUGUGCUGACUGAUGCACAACUUAUGAAAAGACUUGAUAGCAGAAUUGGUGAAGCUGACUGGAAGACCCUUAUUACUUAUUGGAGAUCUUCGGUAUUUGAAAUCUCUGAUGGUGGUGGAAAGACAACAUUUGUUUAUGCCAUUGUGGACAAUAAAAUGUUGCUGUCUGGUUGUGUAGGGAAGACAAGAGGACUAAGAAGGAACCGUGAAGCUGUCAGUUUGCACCAACUAGAUAUCUUCUGUAAUGGAGCAAAAACAAUCCAUCGUGUAGCUACCAUUUUGUAAAGGAUAUCUUGUGUAACGGAGCAAGCAUUGAAUCGUCGGAUAUGUAUCUAUCAUUUUGUAAACCUAUCGGGUGUUUUGAUCACCUAGACAAAUGUUUCCUCUUAUUUAGUUACCUCUAUUAUGAGAAUUAUUAGUGUUAUUUUUGUUUGGUUCUAUUUUAAU